rnacentral:antisense_RNA from 1 species
CUUCACCGACCCGAGCAGCAGGGGCCGACCCUCCGGCCGGUUCUGACCGUAGGUGGCCAGCAGCGCUUGGGCCUC